rnacentral:rRNA from 1 species
UACGUAGGGUGCAAGCGUUAAUCGGAAUUACUGGGCGUAAAGCGUGCGCAGGCGGUUCGGAAAGAAAGGUGUGAAAUCCCCGGGCUUAACCUGGGAACGGCACUUUUAACUACCGGGCUAGAGUGUGUCAGAGGGGGGUGGAAUUCCGCGUGUAGCAGUGAAAUGCGUAGAGAUGCGGAGGAACACCGAUGGCGAAGGCAGCCCCCUGGGAUAACACUGACGCUCAUGCACGAAAGCGUGGGGAGCAAAC